GUACUAGGACACUUAAGCUAGCUAAGGAGGAAGUCAGAAAAAAUGUAAAUGGCAAAGUAGAGGAAAGAUCAGUGAACUAGCCUUGAUAUACUGAAAGAAUGGUUGUUAGUCUGGAAUAUUGCUAUUGAGGACUACUGUGCUUAUAUUGGUGAUUUUGGAGAUUGAGUGGUAAAUGGUCAUCUAUGGUUGCUUCCAGUUGCGUGAGGAGUGAGUGGUAGAUGCGGUAUGGAAGGAAGUCACUGGGGAUGAGGAAAUUAAUGACUCAGAGUUCAGCAUAUUAGAUAAGCUACACCAUACUUCUAUACGUUUAUCUUCUCUUUCUUUUUUCCUUUAUUAUUUUUUUUUAAAUUUAAUUUAAUGUGUAUGGUUGUUUUGCCUGCCUGGUGUAUGUCUGUGCACCACGUGUGUGUCUGGUGCCCUUGGAGGCUAGAAGAAGGCUUUAGAUCCUCUGAGAUUGGAGUCACAGAUGGUUGUAAAACAUCAUGUGGGUCCUGGGUAUUGAAUCUAUGUCCUCUAAAAAAGCAGUUACUGCUCUAAACCACUAAGACAUCUUUCCAACACCAAGGACAGGAUCUUAUUAGUGUUCAUUAGAGACAUCUAAAUGCCAGCUCUAGGACAGCUAUUCUAAACUAUUCAGAGUUUAUCCUCCAAGGAAUUUAGGAGCUCUUAGGAUGAGUGUAUUAGAUUAGAUGUUAUGGUAAGAAAGAUGUAUGAAUUUUCAGUCUUUUCCUGUCUGCUAUUCUCUUUCUCUCUAGACAUAGUCAGAUUUUUUUCUUUUAAAAGCUCUUUCCUCUAUCUUGGGAUAUAACUCAGUAGGAAAAUUAACCUUUGACCCAACUUUAAGCUUUCUUUAAAACUUCUCUCUCAAAUCUAUUAUUCUUUUCAUUGUUAUAAAUAUUUAUUUAUUGGAAAUGCCUAAUUUUCACUGAGCAAUAUUAUGGGGAAAAGAGUAAUCAUCAUAGUAUACAACUUUUGUCACUUGGGAGUAUACAUACAUACAUAUAUACAUACAUACAUCUUAUUUUUCUUAUAGUUUGAAUCAUAACUGAUAAUAUAAGAGAACAAAGGCUUUAUCACACACAUACAUGCGUGUAAACACACAUUAAUAUUUGUGCUGGGGGGUAGAACUCAAGGGUUUAUGUAUGUAGGCAAUCACUCUACCAUUGAGCCCUAUGACCAAUACAUUUUUAAUUUUGUAUUUUUAAAGUUUUUAGCUUACAUUUCCUGUUUUCUUCAUAUUCUGUAAAAUGUUCAAAUAUUUAACUUUUUAUGUAUUAUAAAUUUCUAAUCUGUUUUCUUAUGGUCAGACCUUUCAAGUAAUUCACACGUUUUGCUGUUCCUGAUAACAAUAUAUUCUACUUCAUCUUGUGUUCAUGCUUUUUUUAAACUCUAAUUCUUUAAAAAUAUUUUUAUGUGUCUCUAUGUGUGCACAUGGAUCUUUGUAUGUGCAUCAUAUUUGUGUGUGUGUGUGUGUGUGUGUGUGUGUGUGUGUGUGUGUGUGUGUGUAUUGAGGCCUGAAGUUGAUAUCUGAAGUCUUCCUCAAUCACUCUCCACCUUAUUGGAGGUCUCAGUUGAAUGUAGAACUAAUCUAACUAGCAAGCCUGCUUUAAGGAGCUUCUGUCUCCUUUCUUAGCACUAGAUUUAUGGGGAGGUCACCGUACUCACCCAGCAUUUACAUGGGUUCUAACUACACAACUUCUUGUCCUCAAUCUUGAAGACAAAUAUUUAUCUAUUGAACCAUGUUUCUAGCCCCUAAUUUUUUUGUUGAGCUGUUUUAAGAGAUAAAUUCCUAGAAGUGAGAUUAGCUGGCCAAAGAUUAUGAACAUUUUCCUUCCGAUGAACUUACUGAAAGAACUGUAUACCGUUUGCCUUCAUGCCCUAACACUUUCCUUAAGUAUCUUGGAAUUUGUCAUCAGUCAAACAUCUUUCAGAGAUUACAAAGUGGCUUCCUAUUUGGAAAAUGAAUCGGCUCAUUCUGAAUUUUAAGAAUUCUUAUAAUUUAUAAGAUGUAACACUUUGUUGCAACUAUCUUCUUGAAGUUCUCCUGUCUUGGUUCAUGAUAUGAUAUUUAGUUCUCUUUCUACCUUCGACUGAUUCUGUUUCUUGAAUGUCUGAAAUGAAGCCUUCUUUAGGUUGUGUUCAGUCCCUUCCAACAUGAAUAAACUACAAACCACUUUCUCUGGUUCCAACUUCUCCCUUCUUAAAUUGACAAUAAAGUUGUUUUCAUACACUAUGUUCUAAUAAUGGUUUCCUGUCUCAUCUUCUCCUUGAUCCUUUCCACCUCCCAACCCAUCCAACUCCCCACCUUCUUUCUCUCUCUUAAGAACACAAAUAGGCAAACAAAAUAGACAAAGAU
rnacentral:lncRNA from 1 species